UGCGUAAUAGCUCACUGGUCGAGCGCCCCUGCGCCGAAAAUGUAUGGGACUAAGUAUCGCGCCGAAGACACGGGUUCGCAAGAGCAGUAGGGGAGCGUUGUGUUCAGCGUUGAAGGUGUACCGGAAGGAGCACUGGAGCGUUCACAAGUGAGAAUGCCGGCAUGAGUAGCGAUAAAGGGGGUGAGAUUCCCCCUCGCCGAUAGCCCAAGGUUUCCCCGGCAAGGCCAAUCCGCCGGGGGUUAGUCGGCCCCUAAGGUGAAGCCGAAAGGCGUAACCGAUGGGAAGCGGGUUCAUAUUCCCGCACCGCCAUGGUUUGAGCGAUGGAGUGACGUAGAAGGAUAGGUGAUCAGGGAGAUGGUUCCUUCGGGUGCCCUGUCUCCGGCUUUAGGUGUUGAGGUGGCGAGGAAAAUCCCGUCACUGAGCUGAGGGUUGGAGCGAGUGAUCCUACGGGUGAACGUAGUCAUCGAUUCCACACUACCGAGAAAA
rnacentral:rRNA from 1 species